rnacentral:rRNA from 1 species
UGGGGAAUAUUGGACAAUGGGCGAAAGCCUGAUCCAGCCAUGCCGCGUGUGUGAAGAAGGUCUUCGGAUUGUAAAGCACUUUAAGUUGGGAGGAAGGGCAGUAAGCGAAUACCUUGCUGUUUUGACGUUACCGACAGAAUAAGCACCGGCUAACUCUGUGCCAGCAGCCGCGGUAAUACAGAGGGUGCAAGCGUUAAUCGGAAUUACUGGGCGUAAAGCGCGCGUAGGUGGUUCGUUAAGUUGAAUGUGAAAGCCCCGGGCUCAACCUGGGAACUGCAUCAAAAACUGGCGAGCUAGAGUAGGGCAGAGGGUGGUGGAAUUUACUGUGUAGCGGUGAAAUGCGUAGAGAUCUGGAGGAAUACCGAUAGCGAAGGCAGCCAUCUGGCCUAACACUGACGCUGAGGUACGAAAACAUGGGGAGCAAACGGG